UGCCAGCCGCCGCGGUAAUACGGAGGGGGUUAGCGUUGUUCGGAAUUACUGGGCGUAAAGCGCGCGUAGGCGGACUAUUAAGUCAGGGGUGAAAUCCCGGGGCUCAACCCCGGAACUGCCCUUGAUACUGUUUAUCUAGAGUCCGAGAGAGGUUAGUGGAAUUCCCAGUGUAGAGGUGAAAUUCGUAGAUAUUGGGAAGAACACCAGUGGCGAAGGCGGCUAACUGGCUCGGUACUGACGCUGAGAUGCGAAAGCGUGGGGAGCAAACAGGAUUAGAUA
rnacentral:rRNA from 1 species